UUUAAAGAAAGCGUAACAGCUCACUGGUCUAAAUAAGAGGUUCUGCGGCGAAGAUGUAACGGGGCUAAAGUGAUGCACCGAAGCUUAGGGUGUGACGUAAGUCACGCGGUAGCGGAGCGUUCCGUAAGCCUGUGAAGCGAUCUGGUAAUGGGUCGUGGAGGUAUCGGAAGUGCGAAUGCAGACAUGAGUAGCGAUAAAAAGGGUGAGAUGCCCUUUCGCCGAAAGACCAAGGGUUCCUGCGCAAGGCUAAUCCGCGCAGGGUGAGUCGGCCCCUAAGACGAGCCCGAAGGGGGUAGUCGAUGGGAACACGGUUAAUAUUCCGUGACCUGGUGGUGUGUGACGGAUCUCGUGUGUUGUCUUUCCUUAUUGGAUUGGAAAGGCUUCGAAGAGGUCCCAGGAAAUAGCCCCACCGUAUAGACCGUACCCGAAACCGACACAGGUGGUCAGGUAGAGUAUACCAAGGCGCUUGAGAGAAGUCUCCUGAAGGAACUCGGCAAAUUGCCUCCGUACCUUCGGAAGAAGGAGGCCCCAACUAAGCGCAAGCUCUGUUGGGGGGCACAGGCCAGGGGGUAGCGACUGUUUAGCAAAAACACAGGGCUCUGCGAAGCAGCAAUGCGACGUAUAGGGUCUGACGCCUGCCCGGUGCCGGAAGGUUAAGAGGAGAGGUGCAAGCUUUGAAUCGAAGCCCCGGUAAACGGCGGCCGUAACAAUAACGGUCCUAAGGUAGCGAAAUUCCUUGUCAGGUAAGUUCUGACCCGCA
rnacentral:rRNA from 1 species